UACGUAGGGACCGAGCGUUGUCCGGAAUUAUUGGGCGUAAGAGCUCGUAGGCGGUCUGUCACGUCGGCUGUGAAAUCCCGAGGCUCAACCCCUGGCUUGCGGUCGAUACGGGCAGGCUAGAGUUCGGUAGGGGAGACUGGAAUUCCUGGUGUAGCGGUGAAAUGCGCAGAUAUCAGGAGGAACACCGGUGGCGAAGGCGGGUCUCUGGGCCGAUACUGACGCUGAGGAGCGAAGCGUGG
rnacentral:rRNA from 1 species